AGAGUUUGAUCCUGGCUCAGGAUGAACGCUGGCGGCGUGCUUAACACAUGCAAGUCGAACGAUCCUUCGGGAUAGUGGCGGACGGGUGAGUAACGCGUGGGAAUCUGCCCUCAGGAGGGGGAUAACGGCUGGAAACGGCCGCUAAUACCCCAUAUGCCGAGAGGUGAAAUGAAUUUCGCCUGAGGAUGAGCCCGCGUCUGAUUAGCUAGUUGGUGGGGUAAUGGCCUACCAAGGCAACGAUCAGUAGCUGGUCUGAGAGGAUGAUCAGCCACACUGGGACUGAGACACGGCCCAGACUCCUACGGGAGGCAGCAGUGGGGAAUUUUCCGCAAUGGGCGAAAGCCUGACGGAGCAACGCCGCGUGAGGGAUGAAGGCCUCUGGGCUGUAAACCUCUUUUCUCAAGGAAGAAGAUCUGACGGUACUUGAGGAAUGAGCCACGGCUAAUUCCGUGCCAGCAGCCGCGGUAAUACGGGAGUGGCAAGCGUUAUCCGGAAUUAUUGGGCGUAAAGCGUCCGCAGGCGGCCUUGUAAGUCUGUUGUUAAAGCGUGGAGCUCAACUCCAUUUAAGCAAUGGAAACUACAAGGCUGGAGUGUGGUAGGGGCAGAGGGAAUUCCCGGUGUAGCGGUGAAAUGCGUAGAUAUCGGGAAGAACACCAGUGGCGAAGGCGCUCUGCUGGGCCAUAACUGACGCUCAUGGACGAAAGCCAGGGGAGCGAAAGGGAUUAGAUACCCCUGUAGUCCUGGCCGUAAACGAUGAACACUAGGUGUCGGGGGAAUCGACCCCCUCGGUGUCGUAGCCAACGCGUUAAGUGUUCCGCCUGGGGAGUACGCACGCAAGUGUGAAACUCAAAGGAAUUGACGGGGGCCCGCACAAGCGGUGGAGUAUGUGGUUUAAUUCGAUGCAACGCGAAGAACCUUACCAGGGUUUGACAUCCUGCGAACCCCUGAGAAAUCGGGGGGUGCCUUCGGGAGCGCAGAGACAGGUGGUGCAUGGCUGUCGUCAGCUCGUGUCGUGAGAUGUUGGGUUAAGUCCCGCAACGAGCGCAACCCACGUCUUUAGUUGCCAGCAUUCAGUUGGGCACUCUAGAGAGACCGCCGGUGAUAAACCGGAGGAAGGUGUGGAUGACGUCAAGUCAUCAUGCCCCUUACAUCCUGGGCUACACACGUACUACAAUGCUACGGACAAAGGGCAGCAAGCUCGCGAGAGUUAGCAAAUCCCAUAAACCGUGGCUCAGUUCAGAUCGUAGGCUGCAACUCGCCUACGUGAAGGAGGAAUCGCUAGUAAUCGCGGGUCAGCAUACUGCGGUGAAUACGUUCCCGGGCCUUGUACACACCGCCCGUCACACCAUGGAAGUUGGCCAUGCCCGAAGUCGUUACUCCAACCCUUGUGGAGGAGGACGCCGAAGGUGGGGCUGAUGACUGGGGUGAAGUCC
rnacentral:rRNA from 1 species